rnacentral:tRNA from 2 species
GGAGAGAUGGCUCAGCAGUUAAGAGCACUGGCUGCUCUACCAGAAGACCUGGGUUCAAUUCCCAGCCCCCCA